rnacentral:tRNA from 3 species
UCCGCCCUGGUGUAGUGGCAGCACGCAGGCCUUUGGAGCCUUGAGGCCCGGGUUCGAACCCUGGGGGCGGAGCGA